CUCUAUUCAGUAAGCUAAUUCAAUCACCAAUAAGAGCCGACUCUUUCGGCUCCCUGAUAGUUCAGUUAUUUGUUUGUUUAUUUAUUUAUUUUUAACCAGACAUUUUUUUGCGAUAUUUUGACCAAAAUGAACACCAGCUCGACGUUCACCUGAGAGUCGACUCGUUCUCGAUAAACACACCAACUGGUAAAUCUUUAAUGCAUAUAAAAUCUACGUUUCCCUACUGAUGAAUUCUUCUUAAACUGAAACACCGGGAUAGAAAGGGUUUAAAAUGUAGUUAUGGCAGCCGUCAAGCCCUAAGUUCAGGGUAAAUAAGAGAAGGCGGCUUGACUUUAUUCUGGAACGGACAUGGCCCUUAUUGUCAGACUUAUAGACCUCAUAUUCAUGGUUCAUGGCCUGUGUAUGCCCGCAUCGUCUGUCGCAUAAAUAACUAGCUGAUGAAAUCCGAAUGAGAGUUACAUACUGAGAGAGAGAGAGAGAGAGAGAGAGAAUGUGGCGAUUUAGUGGCAAUUACACAUUUUAUCCCCUCAGCUUUGAGAAUAAUAAAAUACAUGUGAACGCAUGGCAUUUUCGAAUGUCAUUUUAUUGUUUUACAAAUUAUAUGUUGAUCAAGGUGUCGAACUAUAUGGUUAACCAAAGGACUAUUACAGAAUAUACUGAAAGUGUAAUCAAUAUGCGUAACUAACAUUUGGAUAUGUUAAUAAAGUACAAUCUACAUAUAACCAACAUUUAGAAUUAUUACUUAGCAUAAUCUAAUAAUCAAUAUAUUAGUUAACAAGCAUAAUCUAUAUGUAUAUAGAAACAUAAUCUAAAACCAUAGAACAAGUUAUAGUCUAAGUGCGUAUUGAGUUAGAUGAAUUCUGUGUCUCACUGCACAGUAACUGUUUUUCUGUAUCGUCCUGUACCUUUCUGCACAGCAAUAAAUUGGCAUUACACAUUCGCUGGAACUGCUUUUGUAAGUAAACAAUGUUGAAGCCCAAUACCAAUUAACGAGUUAGGAUAGGGCCUCAGGAAGGGAGGUAGAGAUCAGCUAGGAUGGCAGAUAGAAACAGAUAGAAGCUCAUUGAGACAUAAGAAGGGAGUUUUGAUCAGAGAAAAACAAAAAAAUAAGGACUCUGUCUGAGUGAAACCUUUUUACAAUAAAAUUUAAAAAGAAACCUUGUCCUCAUAAAACCUUUUUAAGAGAAACAACUAACUGUGCAUGCUCCACAAAUUUAAGAUAUCAUAUAUACAUGAAUAAUUAAUUGUGGCGAAGGUCUGUUUUUAAUGAGGAAAGGUAAAACCCUGCCUAAGAUGAGUUCGCUGUGGAGAAAGGUCUAAAAAAGGGCUUGUGUGUUUGCAUAAUUUAGACUUUCUGCAGACUGUCUCACUUUAUUGUUUCAAUAAAGUUUGAGUACUUUUUGGCAUCUACAAACCCUCAGUCUCUGAAGUUUUUGGACGUGGGAUGGUUUCCCUGACACUGUAAGUCAUGCUGUCUGAGCCUUUUGACCAAACUACAAAGAAUAAAUAAUAAGUUGAGGAAUUACUCUCAUGUUACACCACGACUUUCUAUUAAAGAAACAGGCAAUGAUUAAAAAAAUAAAUAAAAAAAAUAA